GUGGCUGUAGCUCAGCUCGGUUAGAGCACCAGGUUGUGGUCCUGGGGGUCGCGGGUUCAAAUCCCGUCAGCCACCCCA
rnacentral:tRNA from 1 species